AGCGAACGUUUGCGGCGGGCCUAACACAUGCAAGUCGAACGGGCUAGCAAUAGUCAGUGGCGCACGGGUGCGUAACACGUGGGUAAUCAACCCUUCAGCCUGGGAUAACGAUCUGAAAGGAUCGCUAAUACCGGAUGCGAUGCGAGGAACCUCGGUUUUUCGCAGGAAAGCUUCGCAAGGAGCACUGAAGGACGAGCCUGCGGCCCAUCAGCUAGUUGGUGAGGUAAAAGCUCACCAAGGCGAAGACGGGUAGCUGGUCUGAGAGGAUGAUCAGCCACACUGGAACUGAGACACGGUCCAGACUCCUACGGGAGGCAGCAGUGGGGAAUAUUGCGCAAUGGGCGAAAGCCUGACGCAGCCACGCCGCGUGAGCGAUGAAGGCC
rnacentral:rRNA from 1 species